GACGAACGCUGGCGGCGUGCUUAACACAUGCAAGCCGAGCGAGAGAAAUUCCUUCGGGAAGGACUCUAGCGGCGGACGGGUGAGUAACACGUGGGUAACUUGCCUCAUAGAGGGGAAUAGCCUUUCGAAAGGAAGAUUAAUACCGCAUAAGAUUGUAGUAUCGCAUGAUGCAGCAAUUAAAGGAGUAAUCCGCUAUGAGAUGGACCCGCGUCGCAUUAGCUAGUUGGUGAGGUAACGGCUCACCAAGGCGACGAUGCGUAGCCGACCUGAGAGGGUGAUCGGCCACAUUGGGACUGAGACACGGCCCAGACUCCUACGGGAGGCAGCAGUGGGGAAUAUUGCACAAUGGGGGAAACCCUGAUGCAGCAACGCCGCGUGAGUGAUGACGGUCUUCGGAUUGUAAAACUCUGUCUUCAGGGACGAUAGUGACGGUACCUGAGGAGGAAGCCACGGCUAACUACGUGCCAGCCGCCGCCGUAA
rnacentral:rRNA from 1 species